CUUCAUGCGGCGCUGCGCAGACCGAUCGGCGGCUGACUUGAAGCAGUGCAUUCCGGUUAGUAUUUCUGUCCGACUUAAGCUGGCGCUGCAGGCACGUGACUGUGUCAUAUGGUUUUUAAGUACCGCGAGAGCGGUUCGAGAUCAGCCGCCUGAGUUAGCCAGCGCAGUUCCCGAAGAGGAGCUGCACGGGCUGUAAUGACGACACAGCUGUUUCAAGAUUGGUCGGAUUCACCACAUGACAACAAUCACGUGUGUUUCGUGUGUAUUUUCACACCCUCAGUUCCACAAAUGCUCACAAAUCUGUAUUUUUAUAACAGUUAAAGCUCUUUUCAUGUAGUCGCGAUGUUAUAUUGUGUCAUCUUCAUCAAAAUAAAAUGGAUACAAAAACGUAGACCCCACUACAUUGGUAUUUAAAUAAUUUAUGCUUCUGUUAAACUUUAUUCUUGUAAAAACAGAUGCUGUAAGCCUCUUCAGUUCCACUCAUGCUCAUACACGGACAUUCAAAACAGUAUAAUUCACUUUUUAUGUAGUUUACAUCUUACAAAUCAUGUUUAAUGCGAUUAAGCAAGCAAACGGCACGUGAUCAGCCAUGCCUGACGUAAAGGCAGCAAACUACGGGAACCACAGCGCGUCCGACUUCACGUCUCCGUUUUCAGCUCCUCCCCGCCUCCACGCGGCUAAUCUCGCCGAUCGGUUACAUCCAGCCACAGCCGAUGUCGAACACACCUAAAUGCAUCAUGCAGCCGCACACACUGAAGUUCAUGUGAUAGCAGUCGACUGACGAUGGACAUCAGAAAGUUUUUUGUGAAAAGCAGGGAGAAGAAAGCAGAAAGUAAAGAUGAUGAGUUUGAGGGAGAUGGGACUGAACUGGAGUCUGUGAACUAAUGCUGUGUUCGAGACAACUUGGAUGUUGGAUAUUAUUGACCUCAAACCCGUAAGAAGUCUGGAACAGCAAACAAAGUUGAGUAUCCGACCUCUCAACUUGGGACAGAUCGAUCAACACCGACCUCAACGAGAUGCAUCAUUUGACAUUGGUGGCUAGCCUUUCACAGCCUUACAUGAACCAUCCUUUCUCUUUUUAAUGCAGAACUUAAGGAUGAACCACCCUGAUCUACUAAGAUGCAUAGAUUCAACUCUGUCCCAGCAUCAUCCCCACACCUCAUCUGCCAUCAGUUUAAUUUAAUGUCUGUCAAUUGCAAAUGCUAUUUAUUUCAGUUAUAUUACAACUUAAUGUUUACUUUAAUUGAGACUAGUAUUGUGUAAAGCUGGGGUUUCGAAACUUUUCAUUUCAAAACCUAUUAGACAAGUGUAAUCUAUUUUAGACCCACUAAAAUAUUUUUUAAUGGGGUAAAACACAUUUGUUCUUUUUCA